rnacentral:misc_RNA from 1 species
AGCAGCCGCGGUAAUUCCAGCUCCAAUAGCGUAUAUUAAAGUUGCUGCAGUUAAAAAGCUCGUAGUUGAAUUUCGGGACUAAUAUGUCGGUCGUGCCUCGGUACGUACUGGUUUAUUGGUUUCUCCUUUCUGAAGAACCAUGAUGUCAUUUAUUUGGUGUCGUGGGGAAUCAGGACUGUUACUUUGAAAAAAUUAGAGUGUUUAAAGCAGGCUCACGCUUGAAUACAUUAGCAUGGAAUAAUGAAAUAGGACGUUUGAUUCUAUUUUGUUGGUUUCUAGGAUCGACGUAAUGAUUAAUAGGGAUAGUUGGGGGCAUUAGUAUUCAAUUGUCAGAGGUGAAAUUCUUGGAUUUAUUGAAGACUAACUACUGCGAAAGCAUUUGCCAAGGAUGUUUUCAUUAAUCAAGAACGAAAGUUGGGGGAUCGAAGACGAUCAGAUACCGUCGUAGUCUUAACCAUAAGCUAUGCCGACUAGGGAUCGGAUGAUGUUAAUUUUUUAAUGACUCAUUCGGCGCCUUAAC